UGAAUACGAGACGCUACGGCGUCGAAGCAGUCUAUGUCAUACUUCCAAGAAAAGCUUGCACUGUCAUAAACAAAGAAUGCCUGUACCAUAACCGACACAGGUGGGUAGGUAGAGUAUACUAAGGGGCGCGAGAUAACUCUCUCUAAGGAACUCGGCAAAAUGACUCCGUAACUUCGGGAGAAGGAGUGCCUUAUUUAUAAGGUUGCAAUAACAAGAUCCAAGCAACUGUUUACCAAAAACACAGGUCUCCGCUAAGUCGUAAGACGAUGUAUGGGGGCUGACGCCUGCCCAGUGCCAGAAGGUUAAAGAAGUUGGUUAGCAUUUGCGAAGCUGAUAACUGAAGCCCUGGUGAACGGCGGCCGUAACAAUAACGGUCCUAAGGUAGCGAAAUUCCUUGUCGGGUAAGUUCCGACCCGCACGAAAGGCGUAAUGAUUUGGAUACUGUCUCGGAGAGGGGCUCGGUGAAAUAGACUUGUCUGUGAAGAUGCGGACUACCUGCACCUGGACAGAAAGACCCUAUGAAGCUUUACUGUAACCUGAAAUUGAAAUUGUACUUUAUUUGCGCAGUAUAGGUGGGAGGCGUUGAGAAUUUUCUUGCGGGAAGAUUGGAGCCAUCAGUGAGAUACCACUCUUGUAAUGUUAGAUUUCUAACUUUGAAUCAUGAUCUGGUCAAAGAACAGUUUCAGGCGGGCAGUUUGACUGGGGCGGUCGCCUCCCAAAUGGUAACGGAGGCGCACAAAGGUUUCCUCUGAACGGGUAGAAAUCGUAUCUAGAGUGUAAAGGCAUAAGGAAGCUUGACUGUGAGACCUACAAGUCGAGCAGGGACGAAAGUCGGUCUUAGUGAUCUGACGGUGCUGAGUGGAAAGGCCGUCACUCAACGGAUAAAAGUUACUCUAAGGAUAACAGGCUGAUCUCCCCCAAGAGUUCACAUCGACGGGGAGGUUUGGCACCUUGAUGUCGGCUCAUCGCAUCCUGGGGCGGUAGUACGUCCCAAGGGUUGGGCUGUUCGCCCAUGAAAGCGGUACGCGAGCUGGGUUCAGAACGUCGUGAGACAGUUCGGUCCAUAUCCGGUGUAGGCGUUAGAAUAUUGAGAGGAGCCUUCUUUAGUACGAGAGGACCGAGAAGGACAUACCUCUGGUGUACCAGUUAUCGUGCCAACGGUAAACGCUGGGUAGCUAUGUAUGGAGAGGAUAACCGCUGAAAGCAUCUAAGUGGGAAGCCCACCUCAAGAUAAGUAUUCU
rnacentral:rRNA from 1 species